rnacentral:rRNA from 2 species
UACGAAGGGGGCUAGCGUUGUUCGGAUUUACUGGGCGUAAAGCGCACGUAGGCGGACUAUUAAGUCAGGGGUGAAAUCCCGGGGCUCAACCCCGGAACUGCCUUUGAUACUGGUAGUCUCGAGUCCGGAAGAGGUGAGUGGAAUUCCGAGUGUAGAGGUGAAAUUCGUAGAUAUUCGGAGGAACACCAGUGGCGAAGGCGGCUCACUGGUCCGGUACUGACGCUGAGGUGCGAAAGCGUGGGGAGCAAACAGG